GCGCAGGGGCUUUUUUUUCCUUGCUUUUUUUCCCCCUCUCCCACCCCCUUCCCUCUGCUGCUCCCCGCGACCUGCGAUUUCCUGGGGGUCCGGAACUCUGGACCCAAGGCACCGGUCACCCGCUCAGGACGGCUCCUAGCUCAUCUGAGAAGCCCCUGUGCCCAUGUCCACCCAUAAGCAGAUGGCCUCCCCCCAACCAUGAGGAUUUUUUAAUGGGGUGAAAAUGCCAGUCCCCGAAGCCAGGGUUCUCGGACCCCAAGGGCCGAGCUGGGCGCGGGAGCCCCGCAGGGGCGGGGAGGCCGACCGAGCUUGAAGAAGUGUAGGAGAGAUCCACACAACUUAAGUGGGGCGUCCCCAUCCCAUCUUCCUACUCACCCUCCUUUGCCCCCAACUCCAUCUCUGCGACACUUCCCCCACCCCCACCCCCUAAAAAAGAAGUCACUCCUGGGCUCUGACUGCAGAGAGCCAGGGUGAGAGCGGGCAAGGCAAGAGAGCGACCUCGGUCGUGGGCAAGUAGCUUGUUUUUACGUCCUUCAAUAAAAUUUUUAUGAGGAUCA